rnacentral:lncRNA from 1 species
GAAGUCUCCAUUUCAUAGAGAUUGGGAAGAAAGAAAGAACAAAACAUCUUAUUAAUAAGAUAUAAAAGUUAAGACGAGAAACCUGGAAGCAGAUAUGCCGGAUGAAUCAAGGCUUUUCUAGUUACCAGCCAUGUAGGCUUAGGCAAAUUACUUGAUUUCACUAAAACUCAUCUUUCUGAUCUGAAAAAUGAAAUUAACUGAUGUCAUUCUGAUGACUGAGAUUAUGGACUUUG